rnacentral:rRNA from 1 species
GUGAACGCUGGCGGCGUGCCUAAUACAUGCAAGUCGAGCGAACAGACGAGGAGCUUGCUCCUCUGACGUUAGCGGCGGACGGGUGAGUAACACGUGGAUAACCUACCUAUAAGACUGGGAUAACUUCGGGAAACCGGAGCUAAUACCGGAUAAUAUAUUGAACCGCAUGGUUCCAUAGUGAAAGACGGUUUUGCUGUCACUUAUAGAUGGAUCCGCGCCGCAUUAGCUAGUUGGUAAGGUAACGGCUUACCAAGGCGACGAUGCGUAGCCGACCUGAGAGGGUGAUCGGCCACACUGGAACUGAGACACGGUCCAGACUCCUACGGGAGGCAGCAGUAGGGAAUCUUCCGCAAUGGGCGAAAGCCUGACGGAGCAACGCCGCGUGAGUGAUGAAGGUCUUCGGAUCGUAAAACGCUGUUAUUAGGGAAGAACAAAUGUGUAAGUAACGAUGCACGUCUUGACGGUACCUAAUCAGAAAGCCACGGCUAACUACGU